AUCGCUUCUCGGCCUUUUGGCUAAGAUCAAGUGUAGUAUCUGUUCUUAUCAGUUUAAUAUCUGAUAUGUCCUCUAUCAGGGGACAACAUAUUAAAUGGAUUUUUAGCAGUGGGAGUUGAAAAAGGGGCUUGCUCCAUUCACUCCACGCAUCGACCCGGUAUGGCAGCGCCACCGGGAACGGUGCACCCUUC
ensembl:snRNA U2 U2 spliceosomal RNA